CAGUAUAUCAAAAUAAAACUUAUGCUUUUAUACAAAAACAUGAGAUCCUUAAUGCACGUUGGUUUUAUAUUUUGUUAUAUUGUGUUCAUGUAUUUUUUUAUUUUUUUUAUACAGUGUUCAUGUAUUCAAUAUACUUAAAAAUGAAACACUUUCAUGCAUUCAAGUGUACCAAACAAAAUUCCAACACUAUAUUUUGGAGAAAUAUGGUUUCAAUGUGUAUUCUUUUUUAAAUUUGUAAGAAGAAUUUAUUACUGUUUAUGGUUAAUAUGGGCUGAUAUAUAUUUUUCCUGUAGGGACUGCAACCUAAUCUACUAACUACUACUGAACUCUAAUGCAGGUCAAGUCUGAUCUGGCUAAAAAUAUCCAAUCAUUAGAACCAAACUCUAAAUGUUAUGUCUUGUAAUGAGUGAUUCUCUUACACUCUGAAGUAUAACAAUUUUACCUUAUAAGAAGCCCAUUAUUCGCUUCAAGAUUCUCUAGACCAGGUGUCUGACAUGCCUUUUUGAUAUCUUUUCUGUUUUGUUGUUUUAUUUACCAUCAUUCCCUGCUUCUAUCAUUUUUCAUGUAAUUUGGAAUAUUUAAAGUUAAAUGGUCAAUUCUUUUUUGUAUCAGUUUUUACACCUUUGUGAAUGAAAAAAGGGAAUCUUUCAUUAUGGUUUGGUUGGGCCUUUCUCUUUGUUUCCUAUAAUCUAGAGGAUCCUUAUCUUCUUCUUGGGUUCUGAAAAAAUAAAAACAUCUACUCCCUCCUGUAUUUAUGCUUGAUGUUAUUUCCUGUGGGUUAUGUGUCAUGUCUGGUCUACGAUUGACACAUGGAAAUCCAAAUGCACUAGAGCUGCCCUCAAAAAACUCAAUUUGGUAGAAGAUAGAUCUAUUCCAAGGGUACAAGCUCAUUUCUUUCCUAAGAAUAUGUUGUGGAGGCAAGUCAAGAUUUUGUGCCACUUAUUUUGAGGCAAGUCAAAAUGUGCAGUGGCUUUUAAUAUUUUAGAAAACUUAAUGACCUUGGUUCAAAUCCUAUUUUGUGUUGUUUUUCUCUAUUUUUAUGUUCACAAACAACACAAAGUAGCGUAAACAACAAAAAAGUAAUGUACUGGGCUGUGUGAGAAAGCAAUAAACACUACUAAAAUAAUAGUAUUCUACGAUCUGCAUUCAACAACAGUGGUUCCAAAAAUGAUGUUGUUUUAGAGGCGGUGGUAUUAUAGUAAAUAAGAGAUUUAUUUCAACUACGUUUUUGUUGAAAACAACGUCAUCUGCGCGUUACAAAAAUGGGUUUAGUGGACACCGUUGUUGAACUGCAUUAUCCAAAGACGGGUUUUAUAAACACCGUCUUUGAAUCUGAAGUAAAUUUUCAUCUUUUUCCCUAGCAUACUUGCACUCUACCCUAGCCCGCAUUACCUCACUCAUUUUGUGCCCUUAAGCUUGUCUCUCUAAGUUGGUUGCCGUCGUGAAGCACACCAGCACUGUCGUGGUUGUCGUCGACGAUUUUACACUUCUAGUUUUGAAUAUAUAUACCCUAGGGUAUUAUUGUAUACUACUGAUGCUGUGUAUUUGAUACAGAAAAUCGAAAAGAAAAAUUGGAUUCGAGGCCAGCACCUCCAGACAAGGUAAGAGUGGAAGGUAAGCUUAAGUUUUCAUAUCUCCAUUGUGCCUUACAAUUGCUUUAUUUAUACUAAUUCCUUGGUAACAUAAUUUGACAUUUUGUGCAAAGGUAUAUCUAAGGAAUUAUUGGCUAACAAUUUAUGGGUAAGCUUGUCUCCCUAAGGCAGGACCAUCAACCAUCUAGCAAUUCUUCAUUCCAGGAAUUGAACUCUGAUACAGGAGGGGGUAUACAACAAGUCACGCACAUUGCUCAACCAACUGAACUAGAUCCAAUAGCUAUGAAGCAUGGAUACCUCUUUUGUUCAAAGUGUUGCCGUGUUGGGCAAAUUCAUCUGAGGAAAUACCUGUUUUGUCACCUUUAGUCCCAGUUUCAUUAUUGGGUAGUUCAAAAGAGUCUAAAGAAGGUCAACUUGGUUGCUGCUCUGGUUCGUGGUACCUGCUUGUUAAAGAUGCAUCGAUGCAGUUGGAAUUGACAAUAAAACGAGCAGCAAAAACUGUAUAUCAGGGAAUUCUGAUCUCAAAUUGUCCUCGGCUAUGCAGCGAAAUUCUUGACAAGUUGAACCACCCUUUUCUACCUGCAUUAUCUAUAUGCUUCCUUCCAGACCAAAACUCACGUUUGGUUUGAUUACUAAUUAUUGUCCUAGAGGAGAACUAUUCCUGCUUCUUGAUCGGCAACCAACUAAGGUUCUCAAGGAAGAUGCCGUGAGGGUUGAGGAUGUUACAAGAGUUUGGGAUCCUUGCUGACCAGUGACCAGGGUUGAGGAUGUUACCAAGAGUCGAAUACCGUUGCUGCUAGAAUGUCAAGGUAAAGAGAAACGUUAUUAAUUAGUAUCCUUUUAAGGUAAAAAAAAGGAAGAUUUUACGUUUAAGCGGAGCUUCACAAAGGUACGUAGCCUUUAUGAUUUAACUGUUUGUUGGGUUGACUUGGUUUUCUUCAGUUUUGUAGAAGGUACUAAGAUGUAGGCAUGCUAGAUCCUUAUUACUUGACUGUUGACUGUCCAAGCAUUCUGGUAAUACUGUAAGCCAUACUCAUUUCAAGCUUUUUGGUAAUACUCAUUUCAUAACGGCACUUAAAAUUUUUUCAGUUGGAUGGAAAGGCUACUUGUGUUUUACUUAUUUCAUAUGGCUUAUACUCAUUUCAUAUGAAAUUAACAAAUAUCUAGAAAUUUUGUUAAUGAAAGUCCGAUGACAUUUUAAAUCCAAUGUACAUCAUUCCACAGGAGACAAAGCUAUUGAUAUAAGGAGUAAGCACUACACAUUGUGCUAUGAGGAGCACUUCAUGGAACAAGAGAGAAUUGCAAUAAAAUUCCAUUCUUAGCAUGCAAGUCACUUUUCUGAUCCAUUCUAUGUUAGUAUCACAUCACAACGUAGUCUGUAAUACAGAUGAAUAGGAAAGCAGAUGAGGACACCACAUCUAUAAAUUGAAGUUCUUGCAGAGUUAUAUGCAAACCAAUGAGGUUGUGAGGGCCAUUGUUAUAUGAAAGUUGAGAAUUUGUGCAGGCUUUCAAGUAGAGGUUUUUUCUUGAUCAUUGGGGAUAGAUAACAAUAAGUAGAUAUGAAGUUCAUGAAACUUGGAACAAGGCCAAAUACUUUCUACAGUGAAUAAGCUACCAGAUGAUAUGGAGGAGAGAGAGCCGCUAAAAUUCCCGACAAAAUAUAACAUUCAAAUGGGCAUGAGGUGGCUGAUUCAGGGUAGCCAGUCAGGGGAUUCAUUGGUGUUAAUUUAAGUAUCAUUAUAUUCAUUUUUAGAUUUUUAGAUUCUUAACAGGGAGUAUAGAUGUUUUGUGUUUUACAUUUUUAGUACAAUUAAUGUGUAAGGCUUUGUUUGUUAUUGUUCUUGUUGUUGUUUGUCGUGAGUGAUCCGUGUUUGGUAGAUUGAUGAAUUUCAGUUGCCUGCUGAUCUGUGUAGUUAAUGUCAUCCGGUAAGAUAAAUAAAAGUUGUGUUGUUGUGUGUGGUAGAGUAAUUGGUGUAAGUGAUUUUUGUGGUGAAAGUUUUGUAGCUCUGGCUAGUGUACAUACUUUUUGUUUUAGUUUCUGAAUUUUGAAGUGUGACCAGGUGGUUUAAGUGCAACUUGUGUAAGUGAUGUUUUGGGGCAAGUGUUCCUGAAUUCUAAACGCUAGUUUAGUAUUGAGUUUGAGGAAUGAAUACUGGUUUAAGUGCAUGUUUUAUGUCUCACCUUGUGCCUGUUUUAUUUCUCACCUUGUGCCUGUUUUAAACCAUUUAUUGACUACUUAUUUUGUU